rnacentral:misc_RNA from 1 species
UACGGAGGAUCCAAGCGUUAUCCGGAAUCAUUGGGUUUAAAGGGUCCGUAGGCGGUUUAAUAAGUCAGUGGUGAAAUCCGGCAGCUCAACUGUCGCACUGCCAUUGAUACUGUUAAACUUGAAUUAUUGUGAAGUAACUAGAAUAUGUAGUGUAGCGGUGAAAUGCUUAGAGAUUACAUGGAAUACCAAUUGCGAAGGCAGGUUACUAACAAUCAAUUGACGCUGAUGGACGAAAGCGUGGGGAGCGAACAGG